UCAAGAUUUACACUAUCUUCCCCGUUUCUGCUUAGUUCCAAUUUUGGUUGUGUUGAUUCAUCAUUUAGCUGCGGCAUGGAAGAAAAUUCAUAAUCUUUUCCUUUGCCCCAUAUCACAAGGUAAAGUCCUGCACAUAUAACCGCCGCACCAAGAACCCUGCCAAAGAAAAAAAAUAUUCAAUGAUAAUAAUUAAAUUUCGUUAUUUAAACUCGUGACUAAUGUUGUUGUUUGGUAUCUUGCUUACCUUCCCAGGUACAUCUGCUCAGCAAAGAUGACAGUUGACAUAAUCGCUACUAUGAUAAUGCAAAGAGGACUAAAAGCUGUUACAAACACAGGGCCUCUGGUUUUCAUCACCAGUCCUCCAACAUAGUAUGCAAUCGCCGAGCACACUAUCCCCUGCAUGUAUCUUACAUUGAAGUUGUAACUUGUAAACAUAAUUAACUUUCAAGACAGUCAUUAACCACUAAUUUACUGAGACAUGUCUAAAUCUUACACUGUAGGUAGAUGUUAGAAGUUUAGUGUCCCAACCAAUGGCCCACGCGCCAGGGUUUCCUUUCUCCAUCACUAAUGCCACGGCAGUUCCUUCUAUUGUUCCCAUCAAACAUAUCCAUGCUGUGAGUGAGAGUUCAGCUGGAUAAGUCCUCAACGUGACAGCCUGGAAAAAAGAUUUAUCGUCAAAAUAUAUUAACAAAUAUCUUAUUUUAUAUAAGAAAAUCGUCUUACUUGGAGAAUCAUGAAACAUGCAUAGCUGAAACAACCAAUUGUGACCAAAACUGCGCCUUUGAUAGCACUAUGAAUAUCGGUCCCAUCUGUGUUUUGUGCUGAGGCUACUUUGGUCCAGAAGAGGUCUAGAACUGGACCUUUUACAAGAGUCAUAAUCAUGGCUCCUCCAACUGUAGCCAAUGUUCCAAUCACCUUACCGGCGCUCCUGAUGCACCUUAGUUUCACUCUUUCAAGGCCGAAUAUAUAGGCAAGGACGAACGUGAUUGCAGGUAAGACAUUGUACAUGGCGGUUGCAAAUGUAGCCGUUGUAUAUUUCAUCCCCAGGUAGUAUAAGUUUUGAUCGAUCACUGGCCUAUUAUAUUUCAAAGACACAUGAUAGGAAAAAAACAAAUCAGUCUCAAGUAAUAGAAGAGACGUGUGGGAGGAAUGAAGAUGAAUAAAAUGAGAUAUUACUCAAGUAAACCAAGAAGUGUGAUCUUGAAGAAUAUCAUUAACGUCAUCUUAGGUCUCACCUUCCUGUUUUUUUUUCAACAUCAUAAUCCAUUAAAUACAUUAGAAAGGACUAUUAAUUUUUCAACCGAAAAGACAGCAUUCUCAACAUAAACAUCAUAAGCAACAAGGUAUAUUAGAAAGUUGCACACUUAUUUUUCAACCAUAAGUUGCACAUUAGAAAUGUGAAAUGCUCUUCAAGAAUGACGGUAACAGAAGCCACAGAAAACCAAAGAUAGAAUCGUUGCAAGUGUUUUGUCCUUUAAGAUAUGACUGACCCCUUCUUAUCGUAUAACUACGUCACAAGCCUCAAUCUUUCUUUUUGCUACUUUUCCUUUCAAUUCACUAAACGUCUAUGCAUAAUUCAUUAAAAGAUCGAUCAUUUUAAAAAAAACGGAUAACAAUUGUUUCAUUAUUUAAAAUAGAAUCCGUUUUGUUUAUCAAGGUCACAAUUGUUUGCUUCUCCACUUAUAAUGAUUAACAGGUAUCAAAACAUGGAAACAAAAACGUUAAAGACUGGUAAUGCAAAUUCGAUUUCCAAAAUAGAUAAACUAAAAUGAUAUUCUACUAUCAUGGUCUUGAAACUACAAACCGUUGAACUAUGUUUGUCAAAUAAACUAUUCUAAAGAAGGGAAAGUAGAGAGUACUUGUCGAAAUAUAAGGCAAACGGGGCCAUAACCACGGUAGCAACGGCAUGACGGUAAACAACAAGGACGUAAUUGCUCAUGCCUUUGUUUAAGACAGCUUUUGAGAGAAUGUCCAUUCCUGCUAGUCCUACUUGCAACAAUACCAUUGAAAUGAAUUUUUAAACGAACCAUUACCAAAACUUGAUAUUUAAAUUAUAUUAAACCAACAAGGACGCUAAAUUAAGAAUCUCGGCCUUUUCUAAAAGACCUUUGUCUUUUUUCUUAUGUUGGUUUGCAGUUUUAAUGAUUCUUUGUUAUAAUAACUCCAGUGACUGGAUUAAGAUGUGAUUUUGGAGCUGACUGGGAUUAAGAGAUCUAAGGACGUUGCAGGCAAAAAAAACUGAGACAUACCCUUGCUUGCAGUCUCCGUACUGAGAAUAUCGUUCAAGAAGGGAAGCCAUGAAACAAAGCAUAUUACGGAGAUCAUAUUUAAUUGUUUAGCUAAGAAAACUAAAUAAUAAAAAUGGUGGUUGAUUGUUUUGUACAAUUUAUUGUUCUAAUUGGCAAUCAUGUUGAAGGAAAAAAAUUAAACAGACAAAUUCUACUAUUUUCUUUUAAAUUCUUCAUGGAACCUAAAUAAGAAAGAGUACUCAAUAAGAAUAACAUAAAUUAAGAAAAAGUACAUAUAUUUUAUAAUUGCAUUACUGUAAAAAGAGUUGAGCAUAAUUAAAAAUUAAGAAUAAUAGUUAAAACUUUAUUAGAUUAGAGUGUACACAAUCUUUCUCGUUCCUUCCAAGUUUUGUUUUGAUAGUAGUUGAAAAUUAUAGGUAUAGAGAUGUCCGUCAGAAAAAUUUAAGACUGCAUAUACUUGUAUGAACUUAUAAUCUUUCACAUGACAAUGAUUUGACCAGGGAAUCACUUCUUCUCACCGCGCCUGGCUUCUUUCUUCUUCUUCCUGCCAGCUCCAACAUCUUUCGUUUUCUUUCUUCUCUGCCGUCAACAACUUCUUUCUUCUUCUAGCCACCCUCUGUUUUCUUCUCUCCAACUUCCCUUCCUUCUUUGUCUCUUUCUCCUUCAGCCGAGACUUUUUUCUUUAAGGCGGGAGGGGUGGCACAGUCUUUGACCAGAAGAAGAGAUUGAUGGUUCAUUGAGUUUUUGGCCAGUAAAAGCACAAGUUCUUUAACAUCCAUUGUUCCAUUGACAGUACCAUGUCUUUGGCUGCAUCAAUUGCCACCGUUUCGAUCCCUAGUUCAAAUAUGUAAUAUACAUUUAUUAGCAUUAGAAGUUACUUUUAGCUUUAAUUUGGAUUAGAAUAAUCUUAAAUAGUGAUGCUUCCUUUCAUGAGCACAAUUCCUCUACAUAUUCAGACAGAGAGACUCACUCAUCAACACCACUGUCCAAACUAAAAUUAAGCAGAUAAGGAAGCCAAUUAAUAUAAAGCUCUUACAUUUUCUGACGGAUUCAUUCUGCAUGAAAAGGAUCCAGCAAAAGGCUUUUUCCUUCCAUUUUCUAUGGUCAAUAGAAACAGAACAAUAAAAAAAAGAAGUAGAAUACAGAUUCUUCCGGAAGGAAAAAUGCUUCACAAAAUCAAACAGGGGUGAUGAUUUCAAACAGUUGUGAAUGUUAUUUCAUCGACAGUUUUAAGUAUUAGGCCAAUGGUUCAAGGGAAAAAGAUCCAAACUUUUUACUCAGACGCCAAUUUUUUUUGUUGGGAGAGACGAAGACUUGUAAUCUGCAUCUGAACCUCUUCUCCUCGCAGGUUCUCGCCUCUUCAUUUCCAUGCUAAUCUAAGCAAACCCUUGUUGCAAUUUUGUCAAAUUUAAUCUCUAUUUCGGUAGAUUUAACGAUUUGAAGAAACCCUCUGAUGAAGAAGUUUUAUGGAGGGUUUCUCUUUUAUCACCUAACCAAAGCUGCAAGGGUUCUCUUCUCUUGCAGAGUUGCGAAGCUCUUUAAGAAGAUCACACAAGAGAGCCUGCCUGAGCUAGUGAUUGAUUUGCUUGCGCCAAGUUUUGCAGCUUUUAGAUGAUCCUUAAUUGAUUCUCUUUAAACCAUGGGAGAGUGGGUCAUUGGAGUUUUGAUUUUUUUGCAUCUGAUCCAAAAUUGGCGUCUGACAUGAAAUUGUUGCUCCGAAGAGAUUUCUCUACUUCCAGGCUCCAUUUUUUGAACACGACAUCAAACGACUCUUGGAUCUUUUGACUCUGUUUCAUUUCAAUCAAUGGGAAAGUAUGAGUACGUUUAGGAACGCAAAAGACGGGAAGAGGAAAGGAAAACCACAAUCGUAAAGCAAAAAUAUCGAUUGCUGACAUGGCAUUAGUUUUGCAUCUGAUUGGUUGUUUUUUUCUGCCCAUGUGGAUAGCUUAGCUAUUGAGGAUAUGCAACUUUUAGUAUAGUAUAGAUUUUCCUCCCAUGAUAGUUAGCAGUUCUAUCCUACAGUUGCUCUGAAACAUAGUGAACAACAUAUGAAAGUGGUAUACGUCUCGUCUCCUCCACGCAAGACAUAUUGUGCCCUCAUUGUAUUACAAUUAGACUGUUUCUACAAAUGUGUUCUCCUUUGUUCUCCUUGAUUGUUGAUAGUAAUGACUUCAAGAUUUACACUACCUUUCCCGUUUCUGCUUAGUUCCAAUUUUGGUUGUGUUGAUUCAUCAUUUAGCUGCGGCAUGGAAGAAAAUUCAUAAUCUUUUCCUUUGCCCCAUAUCACAAGGUAAAGUCCUGCACAUAUAACCGCCGCACCAAGAACCCUGCCAAAGAAAAAAAAUAUUCAAUGAUAAUAAUUAAAUUUCGUUAUUUAAACU
rnacentral:lncRNA from 1 species